rnacentral:tRNA from 1 species
AUUUAAAUAGCUUAAAUAGAGCAUAGUAUUGAAGCUACUAAUGAGAUUAAAUAAUCUUUAAAUA